rnacentral:rRNA from 1 species
CCUACGGGAGGCAGCAGUGGGGGAUAUUGGACAAUGGGGGGAACCCUGAUCCAGCGACGCCGCGUGAGUGAAGAAGGAUCUCGGUUUGUAAAGCUCUAUUAGCAGGGAAGAAGAAAUGACGGUUACUGAACAAGAAGCCCCGGCUAACCACGGUCCAGCAGGCGCGGGAAUACGUAGGGGGGAAGCGUUAUCCGGAAUUACCGGGUGUAAAGGGCGGGUAGGCGGGAACGGAAGUCUGGAGUGAAAGGCCGGGGCCCAACCCGUGGCCUGCAGUUGAAACUGUAGGUCUGGAGUGCGGGAGAGGCAGACGGAAUUCCUAGUGUAGCGGUGAAAUGCGUAGAUAUUAGGAGGAACACCAGUGGCGAAGGCGGUCUGCUGGACAGCAACUGACGCUGAGGCGCGAAAGCGUGGGGAGCAAACAGGAUUAGAUACCCCGGUAGUC